rnacentral:lncRNA from 1 species
AGUUUGCAAACCCAUUGCAAACCCAUAGUUUGCAAAUCAGACUCAAGAAUGAUCUUCAGUAUUGGUGGUUUUGUGUGGGUUUUGUUUGUUAUUUUUAUUUGUUUUUGAGACUUCGUUAUUGGCACAACAGCUUCUGGAAAUCUGUUUCACAGAGAGUAUGGGGGCUUCUUUGGCCAAAUGGAGUGGGUACUUAUGAGUUCGGUCAGUGCCUGAGGGAGCACUCACUUCCUUGCCUGGUCAUAUUUUCAUUGGUGCAGGCUCCGUCUGCUUGGCAGCCACUGUUUGGGCCACAGCCUGUCCGCAGGGUCCUGCUCCUCUCUAAUUUGUUCAGACAUUGUGGUGUGUCUGGCCAUAUCAUUUGUCAUAGGUGUAAAAACAAUCACAACCAAAGCUUAAAGCUGUUGGGAUGAGCAGCUGCCUGGGAAUCACGCUCCUUCCUGCUCUUUCCAAAAAGCCAGGUGCCGCCGGCCAGCAUCCCGCUCCCUUUGACCCGCAGUCUGUGCGGGAAGUAGGCCCGGAGUGGUGCCAGCAGGAGGUGGCCUUAGAAAGGCGGAGACCCAAGGAGCAGAGUGAGUCGGCGUCCAGCUCCACCUGAAAGCGCCAUCUUGUCGCCACUUCCCUCAGGAGCAGGAACAGAAAAGAAAGAAGUCAGUUUUGCUGUAUUUGAUUGAGUCUGAGGAUGAUGAUGGUCUGUAAGGAGGACACUGGUAUAAGGAACCUCAAGAAGUUUUUACUCAAUUCUAUGGCUUGAAUGUUUGUUCCCUCCAAAACUCAUGUUGAAAUUUAAUUGCCAUUGUAAUAGUAUUAAGAGAUGAUGCCCUUAAAAGGUGAUUAGGUCAAGAGGGGUGCAGCCCCACAGGUGGAAUUAAUGCCAUUGUAAGAGGAUGCAUUCAGGCCUUUCUUGCCUUAGCCAUGAGAUGACGUAGCAUAAAGGUCCUUGCCAGAUGCCAGCCCCUCAAUCUUGAAUUUUCCAGCUUCCAAAACAAUGAGUCAAUACAUUUCUAUUUACUAUAAAUUACCCAGUCAGGCAUUUUGUUAUUGCAGCAAAAACAAACUAAGGCACCCAAUAUGAGAAUUUUAUUUCCUUUCUUUUUUCUUUUAUAGAGACAGAGUGUUGCUCUGUCACCCAGGCUGGAGUGUGGUGGUAUGAUAGUAGCUCACUAUAGCUCACUACAGCCUCAUACUCCUGGGGUCAAGGGAUCCCCCCACCUCAGCCUCCCAGGCAUGUGCCACCAUGCCUGGCUAAUUUUUAAAUUCUUUUUGUGGAGAUAGGGUCCCACUGUGUAGCCCAGGAUGUUCUCAAAUUCCUGGCCUCAUGUGAUCCUCUCACCUUUGCCGCCCAAAGCACUGAGAUUAAAGGUGUGAGCCACCACACCCAGCCUAAGAAUUUUAUUUCUUCAUAAUGUGCCUGUUUUUCAUUAUGUUAAGCUCUAGUUGGCAGCCUCUAAAAUGGCUCCCAGUGAUCUCCACUUCCCAGUACUCACACUCUGUGUGAUCCUCACCCCUGAGUGAGGACUGGAUCAUGUGACUUGCUUCUGACUAAUAAAAUAUGGCCAUAACGAUAGGAAGCCACUUCUGACAGCAGCAGCAGGAGACUCUAACCUCUGUCUUGCUCAGAUGCUCUCCAUGGCUCUUUUCUCUUGCCCACACUGAUGAGCCCCAGGCUGCUGGUGUGACUGUCCUAAAGAGAGGCCCAUGUGGCAAGGAACUGAGGGAUGCUUCUAGCCAACAGCAAGUGAGAAACAAAGGCCAUUAAUCCAACAGCCUGAAAGGCAUGAAUCCUGUGAACAACCGGGCCAGAGACUUUAGAAACAGAACCUGAGAUGGCCACAGCCCCGGCCAACACCUUGACUGCAGCUUCCGGAGGAGCCCUGAGACACAGCUAGUCAUGAUUGGGUUUUUGAACCAUAGAAACUGGGAGAUAAUAAAUAUUAUAAUCCACUCAAUUUUGGAGAAGGUGGUUAUGUAGCAACAGAUAAUUAAAUACUGGCUAAUUGUCCACUGAUUGCAUAUUCUACAAUGUGUAGAUCUCUCUUUAGUUCACAUGUGUUUUUUUCCAAACAGUACAGUUGUUUUCUUUUCUUUUUUUUUUUUUUCUUUCUUGUCAAAAAAGUCCAAUUUGGGUCUGACAGUAUUUUUGACAUGGGAAGAUGGUACAGAUGCAAAAGCAUCUCUUUGUGCUUUACUACUUGAGAUGUUCUGUAUACAAUUAUUAGCUUUGAAAAGACAGGCCUGUGGUUUAUCUCUGUAAUUCUGAGAACUUUUAGUUCUGGUUGCCCUAGUCAGGCUAAUGUAGUUAAAGGCCAUGUGCUGUAGUCACAAAAGUCGCAGGAAAGGCCCUCUACCCUCUGGCUUUAAAAAUAGAGCCUAAAACCACUAUCCCUAGAACAAGUAAUUUAAAUUACUCCAAGCUAAAAAUGAUUGAUAGAGGAAAAUUUAUGAGACUGAAUGUGGUAGAAGGAGACUCUGUGGAUGCUCUAGAUUCUAGAAAAAGAGGCAGAAAAGAAGGGCAGGAGAGUUGAGUAAAGAAAUUGCCUUAAAGAAAACUGGCUCCUCUUCAAAAUUGUCUCAGGCUUGGGCUGCUGGGUUUGGCAGGGCUAUUGUUUAGGGGAUCACCUUAGCUGUGUGUCUAGACAAAAUGAUUUUUCAUUUUGUGCUGCGGUCUUGAACUUCAGAAUCCAUGACCAACUUCUUGAAUCAGCUUAGCAGUCCUAAGUGAGCCUUUCCCUUAAAACACACAAUUGCUUCUGACAGCAAAAGUCCAAUUACAAACAAAAGGGUACAUCAUGUGAGAAUGUUUAGGAAUCUUAAGUGACUUGCUUUUCAUGAUAAUAACUGCCUUGUAUAUUGCAAAAUGUCCUCUGGACCCCAUGAGAGCUCUACAGAAAAUAUUGUAGAAAACCUAAGCAUCGUGUCCAAUGCUCACAGUGGGGUAUAACCAACUAUCAAUUUAAUUACAACUUUAUUACUUACUAUUCAAUUUGGUUCCUACAGAGUGUAUGUUCCUUCCGGGAAUACAAAAAAAUUAUGUUCUAAUUAAAGUAUAAUUAUCCAUCCAGUGC